rnacentral:rRNA from 1 species
AGCGAACGCUGGCGGCAGGCCUAACACAUGCAAGUCGAACGGAUCCUUCGGGAUUAGUGGCGGACGGGUGAGUAACACGUGGGAACGUGCCCUUUGGUUCGGAACAACUCAGGGAAACUUGAGCUAAUACCGGAUGUGCCCUUCGGGGGAAAGAUUUAUCGCCAUUGGAGCGGCCCGCGUCUGAUUAGCUAGUUGGUGGGGUAAAGGCCCACCAAGGCGACGUUCAGUAGCUGGUCUGAGAGGAUGAUCAGCCACCUUGGGACUGAGACACGGCCCGAACUCCUACGGGAGGCAGCAGUGGGGAAUCUUGCGCAAUGGGCGAAAGCCUGACGCAGCCAUGCCGCGUGAAUGAUGAAGGUCUUAGGAUUGUAAAAUUCUUUCACCGAGGACGAUAAUGACGGUACCCGGAGAAGAAGCCCCGGCUAACUUCGUGCCAGCCGCCGCGGUAA